rnacentral:rRNA from 1 species
AGAGUUUGAUCCUGGCUCAGGACGAACGCUGGCGGCGUGCUUAACACAUGCAAGUUGAACGAGAAUUUUUCGAGUGAUUUCUUCGGAAUGAUCAUGAAAAAGGAAAGUAGCGGACGGGUGAGUAACACGUGAGAAACCUGCCUUUCACAAAGGGAUAGCCUCGGGAAACCGGGAUUAAUACCUUAUGAAACCAAAGAUUCGCAUGAAACCUUGGUUAAAGAUUUAUCGGUGUUAGAUGGUCUCGCGUCUGAUUAGCUAGUUGGUGGGAUAAAAGCCUACCAAGGCAACGAUCAGUAGCCGGAUUGAGAGGUUGAACGGCCACACUGGAACUGAGACACGGUCCAGACUCCUACGGGAGGCAGCAGUGGGGAAUUUUGCACAAUGGGGGAAACCCUGAUGCAGCGACGCCGCGUGUACGAUGAAGAUCUUCGGAUUGUAAAGUACUGUCCUUGGUGAAGAUAAUGACUGUAACCAAGAAGCAAGCCCUGGCUAAAUACGUGCCAGCAGCCGCGGUAAUACGUAUGGGGCAAGCGUUGUCCGGAAUUAUUGGGCGUAAAGGGUACGUAGGCGGUUUAAUAAGUCCUAAUUAAAAGGCUAUGGCUCAACCAUAGUAUGGUUAGGAAACUGUUGAACUUGAGUAGAUGAGGGGAAAGUGGAAUUCCAUGUGUAGCGGUGAAAUGCGUAGAUAUAUGGAGGAACACCAAUGGCGAAGGCAACUUUCUGGAAUCAAACUGACGCUGAGGUACGAAGGCGUGGGGAGCAAACAGGAUUAGAUACCCUGGUAGUCCACGCAGUAAACGAUGAGUGCUAGUUGUUGGGAGUCAAAUCUCAGUGACGCAGUUAACGCAUUAAGCACUCCGCCUGGGGA